AUACGUAGGGGGCGAGCGUUGUCCGGAAUGAUUGGGCGUAAAGGGCGCGUAGGCGGCCCGGUAAGUCUGGAGUGAAAGUCCUGCUUUUAAGGUGGGAAUUGCUUUGGAUACUGUCGGGCUUGAGUGCAGGAGAGGUAAGUGGAAUUCCCAGUGUAGCGGUGAAAUGCGUAGAGAUUGGGAGGAACACCAGUGGCGAAGGCGACUUACUGGACUGUAACUGACGCUGAGGCGCGAAAGUGUGGGGAGCAAACAGGAUUAGAUACCCUGGUAGUCCACACUGUAAACGAUGAAUGCUAGGUGUAGGGGGUAUCGACCCCUUCUGUGCCGCAGUUAACACAAUAAGCAUUCCGCCUGGGGAGUACGGCCGCAAGGUUGAAACUUAAAUGAAUUGGCGGGG
rnacentral:rRNA from 1 species